UACUCCUACGGGAGGCAGCAGUGGGGAAUAUUGCACAAUGGGGGAAACCCUGAUGCAGCAACGCCGCGUGAGUGAUGAAGGUUUUCGGAUCGUAAAGCUCUGUCUUCAGGGACGAUAAUGACGGUACCUAAGGAGGAAGCCACGGCUAACUACGUGCCAGCAGCCGCGGUAAUACGUAGGUGGCAAGCGUUGUCCGGAUUUACUGGGCGUAAAGGGAGCGUAGGCGGAUUUUUAAGUGAGAUGUGAAAUACCCGGGCUCAACUUGGGUGCUGCAUUUCAAACUGGAAGUCUAGAGUGCAGGAGAGGAGAGUGGAAUUCCUAGUGUAGCGGUGAAAUGCGUAGAGAUUAGGAAGAACACCAGUGGCGAAGGCGACUCUCUGGACUGUAACUGACGCUGAGGCUCGAAAGCGUGGGGAGCAAACAGGAUUAGAUACCCUGGUAGUC
rnacentral:rRNA from 1 species